rnacentral:rRNA from 1 species
GACAGAGGGUGCAAACGUUGCUCGGAAUCACUGGGCGUAAAGGGCGUGUAGGCGGGGAGGAAAGGCAGAUGUGAAAUCCCUGGGCUCAACCCAGGAACUGCAUUUGAAACUCCCUUUCUUGAGUACCGGAGAGGAAGGUGGAAUGCCUGGUGUAGAGGUGAAAUUCGUAGAUAUCUGGAGGAACACCGGUGGCGAAGGCGACAUCCUGGACCAACACUGACGCUGAGUGAGCGAAAGCCAGGGGAGCAAACGGG